UCCCUGGUGAUUCAGUUGGUUAAGGAUCCUGCAUUGUCAUUGCUGUGGCACAGGUUUGAUCCCUAUCCCUGGAA
rnacentral:tRNA from 1 species